CAUCAAGAAGCUAAUUUAGCAUUAACCUUUUAAGUUAAAGACUGAGGGUAUAACACCCUCCUUGAUGA
rnacentral:tRNA from 1 species